rnacentral:rRNA from 1 species
GGCAGCCGCGGUAAUUCCAGCUCCAAUAGCGUAUAUUAAAGUUGUUGCAGUUAAAAAGCUCGUAGUUGAAUUUCGGGGUUUAUCCGUUGGUCGGGCUUUUUGGUCUGUACUGGCGUGAUGGAUUCCUACCUUCUGAAUAACCGGCAUGUCAUUAAUUUGGUGCGCCGGGGAAGCAGGACUGUUACCUUGAAAAAAUUAGAGUGCUUAAAGCAGGCUAUCGCCUGAAUACAUUAGCAUGGAAUAAUGAAAUAGGACGGCAUGGUUCUAUUUUGUUGGUUUCUAGGAUCACCGUAAUGAUUAAUAGGGAUAGUUGGGGGCAUUAGUAUUCAAUUGUCAGAGGUGAAAUUCUUGGAUUUAUUGAAGACUAACUUCUGCGAAAGCAUUUGCCAAGGAUGUUUUCAUUAAUCAAGAACGAAAGUUAGGGGAUCGAAGACGAAUCAGAUACCGUCG